rnacentral:rRNA from 1 species
AACGAACGCUGGCGGCGCGCCUAAUACAUGCAAGUCGAGCGAGAAGACGUAGCAAUACGUUUGUAAAGCGGCGAACGGGUGAGGAAUACAUGGGUAACCUACCCUCGAGUGGGUAAUAACUAGCCGAAAGGUUAGCUAAUACCGCGUACGCUCCUUGGACUUCGGUUCAGGGAGGAAAGCGAUACCGUGGGUAUCGCGCUCUUGGAUGGGCUCAUGUCCUAUCAGCUUGUUGGGAGGUAACGGCUCACCAAGGCUUCGACGGGUAGCUGGUCUGAGAGGACGAUCAGCCACACUGGCACUGCGACACGGGCCAGACUCCUACGGGAGGCAGCAGUAAGGAAUAUUGCGCAAUGGGCGAAAGCCUGACGCAGCGACGCCGCGUGGGGGA